GAUGGAUUGGUGCCUUCGGGAACUGUGAGACAGGUGCUGCAUGGCUGUCGUCAGCUCGUGUUGUGAAAUGUUGGGUUAAGUCCCGCAACGAGCGCAACCCUUAUCCUUUGUUGCCAGCGGUUCGGCCGGGAACUCAAAGGAGACUGCCAGUGAUAAACUGGAGGAAGGUGGGGAUGACGUCAAGUCAUCAUGGCCCUUACGACCAGGGCUACACACGUGCUACAAUGGCAUAUACAAAGAGAAGCGACCUCGCGAGAGCAAGCGGACCUCAUAAAGUAUGUCGUAGUCCGGAUUGGAGUCUGCAACUCGACUCCAUGAAGUCGGAAUCGCUAGUAAUCGUAGAUCAGAAUGCUACGGUGAAUACGUUCCCGGGCCUUGUACACACCGCCCGUCACACCAUGGGAGUGGGUUGCAAAAGAAGUAGGUAGCUUAACCUUCGGGAGGGCGCUUACCACUUUGUGAUUCAUGACUGGGGUGAAGUCGUAACAAGGUAACCGUAGGGGAACCUGCGGUUGGAUCACCUCCUUA
rnacentral:rRNA from 1 species